rnacentral:rRNA from 1 species
GACGAACGCUGGCGGCGCGCCUAACACAUGCAAGUCGAACGGAGCUGCGAGAAGCUUGCUUUUCUUAGCUUAGUGGCGCACGGGUGAGUAACGCGUGAGUAACCUGCCCUGGAGUGGGGGACAACAGUUGGAAACGACUGCUAAUACCGCAUAAGCCCACGAUCCGGCAUCGGCUUGAGGGAAAAGGAUUUAUUCGCUUCAGGAUGGACUCGCGUCCACUUAGCUAGUUGGUGAGGUAACGGCCCACCAAGGCGACGAUUGGUAGCCGGACUGAGAGGUUGAACGGCCACAUUGGGACUGAGACACGGCCCAGACUCCUACGGGAGGCAGCAGUGGGGGAUAUUGCACAAUGGGGGAAACCCUGAUGCAGCGACGCCGCGUGGAGGAAGAAGGUUUUCGGAUUGUAAACUCCUGUCGUUAGGGACGAUAAUGACGGUACCUAACAAGAAAGCACCGGCUAACUACGUG